rnacentral:rRNA from 1 species
GAAUUCGCCCUUAGAGUUUGAUCCUGGCUCAGGACGAACGCUGGCGGCGCGCCUAACACAUGCAAGUCGAACGAGAGAUGAGGAGCUUGCUCUUCAAAUCGAGUGGCGAACGGGUGAGUAACGCGUGAGGAACCUGCCUCAAAGAGGGGGACAACAGUUGGAAACGACUGCUAAUACCGCAUAAGCCCACGGCUCGGCAUCGAGCAGAGGGAAAAGGAGCAAUCCGCUUUGAGAUGGCCUCGCGUCCGAUUAGCUAGUUGGUGAGGUAACGGCCCACCAAGGCGACGAUCGGUAGCCGGACUGAGAGGUUGAACGGCCACAUUGGGACUGAGACACGGCCCAGACUCCUACGGGAGGCAGCAGUGGGGAAUAUUGCACAAUGGGGGAAACCCUGAUGCAGCGACGCCGCGUGGAGGAAGAAGGUCUUCGGAUUGUAAACUCCUGUUGUUGAGGAAGAUAAUGACGGUACUCAACAAGGAAGUGACGGCUAACUACGUGCCAGCAGCCGCUGUAAAACGUAGGUCACAAGCGUUGUCCGGAAUUACUGGGUGUAAAGGGAGCGCAGGCGGGAGAACAAGUUGGAAGUGAAAUCCAUGGGCUCAACCCAUGAACUGCUUUCAAAACUGUUUUUCUUGAGUAGUGCAGAGGUAGGCGGAAUUCCCGGUGUAGCGGUGGAAUGCGUAGAUAUCGGGAGGAACACCAGUGGCGAAGGCGGCCUACUGGGCACCAACUGACGCUGAGGCUCGAAAGUGUGGGUAGCAAACAGGAUUAGAUACCCUGGUAGUCCACACCGUAAACGAUGAUUACUAGGUGUUGGAGGAUUGACCCCUUCAGUGCCGCAGUUAACACAAUAAGUAAUCCACCUGGGGAGUACGACCGCAAGGUUGAAACUCAAAGGAAUUGACGGGGGCCCGCACAAGCAGUGGAGUAUGUGGUUUAAUUCGACGCAACGCGAAGAACCUUACCAAGUCUUGACAUCCCUUGACGAUGCUGGAAACAGUAUUUCUCUUCGGAGCAAGGAGACAGGUGGUGCAUGGUUGUCGUCAGCUCGUGUCGUGAGAUGUUGGGUUAAGUCCCGCAACGAGCGCAACCCUUAUGGUCAGUUACUACGCAAGAGGACUCUGGCCAGACUGCCGUUGACAAAACGGAGGAAGGUGGGGAUGACGUCAAAUCAUCAUGCCCUUUAUGACUUGGGCUACACACGUACUACAAUGGCGUUAAACAAAGAGAAGCAAGACCGCGAGGUGGAGCAAAACUCAGAAACAACGUCCCAGUUCGGACUGCAGGCUGCAACUCGCCUGCACGAAGUCGGAAUUGCUAGUAAUCGUGGAUCAGCAUGCCACGGUGAAUACGUUCCCGGGCCUUGCACACACCGCCCGUCA